rnacentral:lncRNA from 1 species
GUUUGAUUUCAUUCCAUUCAGUGGUUCUCUUAAAAGAAGUCAUUUGUAUGCAUUUCCCUUAGGGUCCUAUGUUAAACUAAGUCCCAUGCUGGCGGCCAUCUUGGAUGAUGGAUGGGCUACAAAGAAACAACACAUGGUCAGCACGGCAUAAGGAACAUUCAUGCAAUGUUUGGUUUCAUUUCCAUUCAGUUGUUCUCUAAAAGAAGUCAUUUGUAUGCAUUUCCCAUAGGGUCCUAUGUUAAACUAAGUCCCCCGCUGGCGUCCAUCUUGGAUAAUGGAUCGGCUACAAAGUAACAACACUUGGUCAGCACCACAUUAGGAACAUUCAUGCCAUGUUUGAUUUCAUUCCAUUCAGUGGUUCUCUAAAAG